UUGCACUUGAGUACUUGAGAACAGAGUUUGGAUUAGAUUCUUGAUGAGAAGUAAUAUCAGACGCAAUGGUAGCAAUACAAAGAGUAGUCAAGGUUCUGACUGUUCCAGAAAGCGUUGGCAUGGCUGGUACAUAGUUCCUUGCAGGUAUAGUUGUGAGGAAGGGCUACUUCCUAUACAAUAAACCAUAAUUAAAAUCGAGCAAUGCAUGUUAUUGGACAAGGAUUUAUUUUCUUUUUGUUAAAUCAUAGAAAAUUAGAGUUGAAAGAGACCUCAGGCGGUCAUCUAGUCCAACCCCCUGCUCAAAACAGAACCAACCCCAACUAAAUUAGCCCAGCCAGGGCUUUGUCAAUCUGAAUCUUAAAAAAUUCUAAGAAUGGAGAUUCCACCACCUUCCUUGACUUGUUCCAGUUUGCCCUCUAGUGGCUGACAUUUACAAAAUAUGGAUUUCUAGAAAAUAGUGCUACAUAAAGAUGCUUUAGAAAAGACUAGGAUGCAGGAUUUUAUUUAACCCUCUUGCCUGACCUAUGAUUUAAUUCUCUAUUUUCUUUUCUGUGAGCACACAACUAUUUGGGGAGGAGUUUUAUUACCCAUUGAUCCAAGUCCAAUGUGAACAAGCCUACUAUCCAGCUGCCCCUCUGCCUAGAAAGCAGAGGCAUGUAGCAAGCCACCAGCUCUCUCCAUCAUAAGACAACAGCAGGUGAUGGGAUGGGAGUAUGGGAGGGUCUCUUUACGUCGCCUGAUAUUUUGCUGUUGGAAUGUAUUCAUCCUGUUAAAGCAUAUUUUAUAAACACAUAUAGCUACCACGGUCCAACCUUGUCUUCAGGAUGACAAUAGUAAAAACACACUAAAAGUGUAUUAUAUCCCAUAAGUAUCAUACUGAGAUGCUUAACAAAAUGGAAAAACAAGAUAUAACUGACCUUCAAAGGUCUUUUGAGGUAAAUCAGAACAUCUUGGGGGGAAAAAAUGAAACCAAAUAGCUGUUGAGUUGCAAUGAAGCAUUUUCAGGGCUUUUCUCUCACCUUUCCUCAGUGUACCAUAUAAAACAAUUUUUAUUGCAAUUUCCAGCCCUGUAGAAUCAGACUAGUGUAUCAGCAUCAGUAUGUGUGUAUUCUGUUUUUCAUGCAUCAUUUAAAAGGAUCAUCUAAUAUUUCUGCAGUUGGGGCUCUUUUGUCAUUUUCUAGCUUGUGCUGAUGUUGAGGAGAGAAGCUGUUGUUUAAUAAUUUCAGCAGUGUUAACUCUACACAAACACUGAGAGAGAAGGGAAGAAGCUGGAGCAAUUCCUAGAGUGCUUUGGUAAGAUUUAGCCUGGAAAUUAUCAUUUUGUAACUCUUCUCAAGGGCUGAUUGUGAGUGAAUCCCAGCUGAUCUGCUGCAUGCAAAACACCACUUGAUUCAUGGCAGUUAGGUAAAAGAAUUUUUUAUCGAGCCUUUUUUUUCACUAUCUUCAGGGUCUUAGAGUGAAUUGCCUAUAGUGUUGUACCUGUUCUAGAUUACAGUGCGAUGACAGCCAUGUUGGUUGUGAUGAGGGACUUCCAAAGCUAAAAAUGUCAGCCUCUAUAGCAUGAACUACAGGAUUAAAUUUAUAUCUGGAAGCUAUGACAAACUCACAUCCUUCGUAGCACAGAGGGGGAUGUGUAACACACACGAAACUCUGGGUUAUAUAACUGCUAAUGUAGACAGUGCAAUGAAGACUUCUGCUCAAUGUGCAGCUGCAGUCAAAAAUCAAACACAAUGUUAAGAUUUGAAAGGAAGAGACGAUGAAUAAUACAGGGAAUAUUAUAAUGCCAUUAUAUCAAGCAGUGCUGUGAUCUCAUCUGGAAUCUUGUCACCUCAUCUCAGAAUAGACAUUGCUGAAUUAGAGAAGAUUCAGACAUGAAAAGAAAAACUCUCCUAGGAAAAGAGAUUGAAAAGAGUGGGAUUGUUUACCUCAGAAAGGAGACAAAUAAGAGGGAACAUAAUGAAUAGUAUGGAGAAGUUAGAUUGGGAACUUCUGUUCUCAUGGUCUCAUAACACAAAAAGAGGGGGAUAUUUAAUUAUCUGAAAUGGAAUCAAAUACAAAACUGAUAAAAGGAAAAAAUUCUGCACACAACACAUAGCUGGACAGUGGAGCUCAUCGUCACAGGAAAUUGUUGAGGCUAGGAGGACAAAGAAAACAUGAAAGCAAUAGCAGCUACAAUUGUAGAAUUUGUUCCUCACCGUGAAAGGGAAGAGGGUGCAACCACAAUGAAAUAUUGCAUAUUAUUAUUUCAUGUUAUGGCCAUAAUUAUAGGUGAGGUGUACAUACACCUCUACCCCGAUAUAACGCGACCCGAUAUAACACGAAUUCAGGGGGGAUCAAAUCAAGUUCAAUACAAUGUGGUUUCACCUGUAACAUGGUAAGAUUUUUUGGCUCCUAAGGACAGCGUUAUAUCGGGGUAGAGGUGUAUUUGCAAAUGUGAGGAGAUGCAUGAGGAAAAAAGUACAAAAGUGGGGGAGAGGGAUUGCAGAGGGACUAGUCAGUAUCUCAUGCAUUUGCUAUCAAUAUGUUUUGAAAUAUGUUUGAUUCAGAAGAAGAGUCCAAAGAUCAUAAAUGUGCAGGGGGCUGAAUCUUCGGCCGUCCCGGUUGUCGGUGGUAUUUUGGAGGCAGGACUUUCCGCCGCCUAGGGCGCCAAAAAAGCUGGUGGUGCUCCUGUAAAUGUGUCUUCAAAGUGGAAGAGACAGGCCCAGAAACUCAAAAGCAUCCCUUGUCCCAAUCCACUCAAUGCUUGGGCAAUGAUCCAAGGAGUUUUGGCCCAAUUGUGGCAGGGUGGAAAAUGAAUUCUGCAAAAAAAAUGUGUAGCUCCCAUGAAGUUAGACAUUAAACCACAAUGAAAACAAUUUUAAUAUAAUCCCAGGUGGAGAGGAAAGAGAAAGAGGGUGUGUAUUUUUAAAAAAUACAGGAUCAUCUACUCAGCUGAUGUGAAUUGAUGUAAUUCCACUGAAAUCAUCAGCAAAGAUUCUGGCCCCCAGCCUAGGUAAGGAACUGUUUACAAUCAUAAACUAAAGGAAAUAUUAUUACAAGAUAGCAUAGUCAGGGGAGGCAGAAUAAGGCUAAAAAAUUCCAAAGGCUUUGUCAGACAAACAUUUUAACACAAGAUCAAAUUUAACUCUUAAAGUUUAAUGAAUGGUUUCUAUUAGGAACUGCUGUAAGGUUUGAAUGGCUUUUUGCAUACUCUGUGUAUAGGAGGGGCCAUUUGUGCUUGGUUGCUGUCUGGUUGAAACAGCAUUAAAAAUUGACAUUCACUGUGUCUUGGUGAGUCAAUGAGGAGAAUGUGCAUUGGUGAAGUAGUGAAAUUAAAAUAGGUAAAAAAAUAGGUUUAGGCUGAUAAUGAUAAAUGUUGUAAUCCCGUCUAUCUGUGAAUACAAUUUCUGCUUCUAACCCUCCAUCUAAAAGUAAUGAAGGAUAUUGGGACAAAUAAAUAACCACUGUAAAUUACAGUUAAGUGAACUGUUGGAAGAAGCAGACAAAAGUUAUUUUAGGUGCAUUUAGAUGUUUGUAGGUACCCACAAAAUAACCUUCCUAUGUUGAGCCUAGGAAAGACAUAUUUGCUGUUUUUGAACAGCUUUGGAUUUUCUCAGUAAACUGUUCUCCCAGCCCUGCUAGUAACGUAAUUAGCAUUUAUCUAGCAAGUGAGAGUGGCUUAGGCAGUAUCUUUAACCUCCAGAGACAAUAGAAAAUGGGGGUUUACAAAGGCUCAGUACUAUAAUGCACUUAUACAAAGAAAGAGUAUUUUGGGGGUUGAAGCAAACUGGGCAGCAAUUCACGUAAAACUUUCUAGAAUGUUUACAAAUAUGUAAAUAAACCAGGAGGAGAAGGCUUUAAACCAUUGUUAAUAAUCAAAAGAGACAGUAGAUGGCAUAAGAGACUUGAAAAUUCAAUGUGGAAAAGUGUUCUCUUCUUCAACAUUGUGCCAUGUAUCCUGUUUUAGCACCAAGACCUCCACUGUGUGAAUUCCCCUGGUCUCUUAUUCAUAAGUUGCACUUUAGUUACACACAGCACAUUUGUUUUUUAGUUUACUUACUAACCACUUAUUCAAACAUUGAUGAAAUCCUGACCCCAUUAAGGUAAAUGGGAGUUUUGUCAUUGACUGCAAUGGGGCUGCGAUUUCACUCAUUUUUUAAAGGUGUUAUUAUGAAGUGUAGGCAUUUAAUUUCCAGCAGCAACCUGAUCUUAAGUACACCUUUUACCCCAAUGUAACGCGACCCGAUAUAACACGAAUUUGGAUAUAACUCGGUAAAGCAGUGCUCCGGCAAGGUGGGGCUGUGCACUCUGGCAGAUCAAAGAAAGUUCAUUAUAACGCAGUUUCACCUAUAACGCAGUAAGAUUUUUUGGCUCCUGAGGACAGCGUUAUAUCGGGGUAGAGGUGUAUUUCUUCCUCUCCUGUCAUCCUGGAUCCCUUGUCGCUGGCUGCAGUACAAUAUCAUACUUUCUCAAAAUGCCACCCGUUGUUCUUUCAAACUAAUGAAUCAACAGGAACCUAAUAGAAGCAUCUGAUUGGACCAAACUGUUUUAUCACCUUUGUUCAGGAAUGAAAAGAAUCUGUUCAGAUCAACCUUUUCCCUCUUUCACUUUAAUUUAAUGAUCUAAAUAUUUUAGACUCAUUACAAAUAGGUGAGUUUUAAUCAAAACUGAACACAAGCAAAUCAAACAUGCUGUUUUGAUUUCUCCAAAUGUCUAGUUGUUUUAAAAUGUGUUGAAUCCUGAAAAUACAAACCCUUUUCUUAUCAUUAAAAUAUACCACAUUUGGUAAUGAGACCUAUUGGAAAAAUACCUUAAUUUCUAUCAUCAUGGACUAAAUUGUGUAACGUGUACAAGAAUAAAUAUUAGUAUCUAAGUAUUAUGAACUCCAUGGAGUAGGUAGGCAUUGUUGUCUGCAGAUGGAGAAAAUGGGGCCGAAAGACCACCAGACUUGCCAAAGGCCACACUGCAAGUCAGUGUUAGAGCCAGGGUUAGACGUCAGGACCUCCUUCCAGCCCUCGUUUCGUUACACAAGUGCAAUGAAAGUAAAGAAUAGAGGGGUGAGAACCCCUCAGUGGUCUUGGUGGGCUCUAAAAUGUCAGCAGCAUACUUGUUACAGCUGCUGUACCCCAAAAAAUCAGCGAACCGAGAUUCAGGGUCCAAACAUUUGCUAAACACACUAUAACAGAUUCAAAAGUGAGGGAGCAAAGUACAAGGUUACAGCUUUUAUAUUUUCUGUUUGUUUAUUAUGGGUAAAGGGGCUAGAACACAAGUCAGUAUAUGAUGAAUAAAGCAGCAGAAAAGGCAGAUGAACAAAGAAACUCACGAAGAAGCAGAAGAACUGUGUGAAUAGCGAGGGCUGUCAGUCUAUCUGAAGACAUCAGAGCUGGUGACCUUGCUGCACUUACAUGCCAUGAAGAGCAAUGGGGUUCCUACCCCAAACGGGUCCAGAGAAGUCCCUUUUUCUCCUACAGGGCAUAGAGACCAAGCAGAUGGUUCCCCAGAUGAUCCAGCAGAGGUAGCAGUGAUGUUGAGAUGUUUAGACCUGUGGAGGCUGGAGUGGAAAGGCUGCUUGUGAAGGAAAGGUGGAAGAAACUGGAGGCCAGGGAUCAGGAAAGUGGAGGCAGAGCUGGAGCAAUAGAAGCUUGCUGCCCGGAACAAACAAGCAGCUUAAACAGUCAAGUCAUGCCCAUGGGACCCAGGAGGAAGGACAUAAGGGUGUGCCUGAUCAGGGGCAAUAUGGGUAUGAUGGAUGCCAUUGCUCUGCCUGUAGUCUUCAGCAUUAUGGCCACUGAAGGGUUUUCUGGUUGUUGGAGUGUGGGACGUUUUUCUUGUGUUAUUUUCUGUAAUGAAGUAAAUGGGUUAAACUCUCAGGUCUCAGGUAGAAGCCUAUGAGGGCCAGAUUCAGUGGGUGGGGGGGGGGGAAAUUGCUGUCUACCCUUGCCUGGGAAACUGAGUUGGAGGUAAAUGUGGCUGUGGCACAGCGAAAAGGUGCUGUGGUCCAGAAUCUGCUAGGAGCAGUCUCUUAGCGUAUGUGCAACGUGCCUUAGGAUUCAUCACCAAAUUUGGUCCACUUAUUGGAUCAUUAACUUCCUUGGCCCGAGCCAGGCACUGAUGGGGAAUGUAACAUGAAUGCUGAGCCAUUGCCCCCUGGUAGGAGCAGUGAGACACUGCUAUGGCUAGGAAAUGCUGUGGGACAGGGUCCGCUGGCAACCCAGAAACUAGGCACAGCAGUAAAGCAAUGUGGGUGGCGCUGUGUGAUAAAAGUGCUGACAGAUUCAUGCUAUCUUGUGUAACCUCCCCUUUCCUCCCUGGAUUACUGAACAGCAGGCAACACUCACCUGGGUGCCUGAUGUUGACAGUAAAGGAGAUCCUGAGUAUCCCAGUGGUGAUAUUGGCUAAAUGGGAAUCCUCUAGCCACCCCUCUGCUGCAAUCCCUUUACAGUACUAGUAAUGGAAAUUAAUCUUGGAGGUACCUGCAUCUGGUUGGACCUUGUACCAUGCAUGCCUUGGGAGCCUCAAGGAAUUAACCUGAGCUAAUCUAUGCAAUGUGUCUACGUCAAAAGUACCAAUUAUAAACAAUAUGUGUCUAAUAUAAGCUUAGUUUAGAAUUAACACACCUUUACUUAACAACUUAAAAACCAUGAUAUUGCAGACAGAGAUUAAUUAAAAUGUCACAACCAAUUUAAAUCAGCAAGGGGCAGUUCAAUAUAUUAAUGCAGUUUACAGUAGAAAGUGAAACUUAUUUAACUUGCAUUUACACUAUCACCAUUUCCCCCACCUCUGUACGUGCGCGUCUCUGAAUUUCAGCUUCCUAAACACUUGCGUGGGUGCAUUUGAAGACAUGGGUGUAGUUUGAGGAGGUACAGGGAGGGUCUUGCUCCCCUAAAGAGAGGUGAGGCCUGGGGGAGGCAUGCGGGGUCCACUCCCCUCCCCUCAGCUUUCUGUCAGUGCUGAACUGCCCUGCAGGGCUUGUUUUGCUCAAUCUGGGGGGGGGGGGAGGGGGAGGGGAGGGAGCAGACAUGCCAAACCCGUGGAAAAAAAUGCAGCAAUCAGGCUUGUUUUUCGGCUUGUGAGUUGCUUGUUGGCUGGUUUUGGCUUGUAGCAUGUUGUAGUUUGUUGCUUAUUUUUUUUGAUCAGCUCCGGGCAAGCAGGGGCAAGGGGGAGGUGGGGCAAGCAGAGGCAAGGGGCAAGCAAGGGCAAGACGAGAGCGAGAGUCCGGGGUGCCCAGCAGGCCCACCACAGUCCCAGACUGCAGGCCAGGGGGAAUCUAGUCACUCAUUGGAGUUCUUAGGGAUUGUCUUAUAUUGGCCUUGUUUUGAAAUGGGAUUAGUUUGAUUUUCGGUUUAUUGGGAAAGGGUGCUUAUUUACCACAUGAUAGUUGGCAACUGUGUGUGGGAGGGGAGGGAAGAGCGGGGAGGGGGGGUUCUAUCCGUCCCACACUGUGCCUCUCCCCUCUGCUGGCAGGUCAAGCAGUGCAGCCAGGCAGCCCAGCGGGAUGGGGAACAGGACAGAGCAGCUGCUCCAGGUUACCACCUCAGCAGUUGGCCGCCACCUCUUGGGUCCUAGUUCUACCUGUUUCUUGUAUGAAUGCACACAGCAGACAGAGCAAAGGGAGGCAGGGUGGGGCUGGGGAAGAGACAGUGGAGAAAUAGGGGAUAGGACUGGGGAAAAAAAGGGGCUGGGAGAGUGGAUUAAGGUGCUCCCACCCCACCUAUUCCACUUGCGAUCCCCCCCUCGUUCUGUCCCCUCCACCUGCGGCUCGCUUGCAGCCCCACCCCUUUCUGCCCCUUCCCCAGGCCCACCCCUUUUCCAUCCAGGGCCCCCCCAUUCCACCACCCACUAAAACCCCCAUCCUGUUUGCACCUUUCUCCCCCUCCCACCACUGUGGCUCCCAGACUGGAGAAGCUUUGUCCCAGUUCCAUGGUCCCAGGCCUGCAGCAGGGAGUGAGAGCUCCUCCUGUCCCAGACCUGCAGCAGGGGAGUUUGGGUGCUGGGUCUUCCCUGCCACCCCUUGCGCUUCUGCAGGUAACCAGGGUUGGAGCGUCGGGGCUUUGCCUGCGCCACCGGCCCGUCUGCUCCCGGCACUUCUGCCAUGGGGCGUCCCCUGCCACCCUACCGAAUCUGCUGGGGAGGAGGGAGUGGGCUGGGUCUUUCCCCAUCCCACAGCUUCUGCUGCUGGUAGGGGUGCUGGGGUUUCCCCUGCUACCCCGCACCAGGGUUGUCCCGCCUGUCUGGCGCUUCUGGGAACUGGGGGCAGGUGCUGCUGCUGGAGCUUCCCCUAAUGCCCCAUGCUGAGGUCAGGCGCGGUGUGUGGGUGUGUGUGUGUGCUGGGGGCUGCCCUAGCAGUCUGGCACUUCUGGGGACCAGGGAGAGGGAGCUGCCACUGGGGAUUUCCCUGCCGCCCCACAGUGGAUUUACACUGGGGGUGGGAGAGCCCAUUUUUCCAGUUCCCACCAACUGGCCGGCAUCCCUGGGCAUGGACACUGUGGGCCCAGUGGAUAAUCCACCAUUGGAGUGGGGUGUCAUAAACAGAUAGCUAAGGGUUAAUGUCUCUUUCACCUGGAAAGGAGUAACCUGAAACACCUGACCAGAAGACCAAUCAGGAAACAAGACUUUUUCAAAUCUGGGUGGAGGGAAGUUUUGGGUGAGAGUUCUUUGUUCUUGUCUUGGGUCUGUCCCCUCUCGGCUAUGGGAAGGAUUUUUCUGUCUCCUGCUUUCUAAUAUUCUGUUUCCAAGUUGUGAGUACAAAGAUCAUAAAACAAUAGGGGUUAUUGGUUUUUUUUCUUUUGUAUUUACAUAUGUGUAGUUGCUGGAGUGUUUUGAAUUGUGUUCUUUUGAAUAAGGCUGUUUAUUCAUAUUUCUUUUAAGCAAUUGACCCUGUAUUUGUCACCUUAAUACAGAGAGACCAUUUUUAUGUAUUUUUCUUUCUUUUUACAUAAAGCUUUCUUUUUAAGA